AAUGAACGUUGGCGGCAUGGAUUAGGCAUGCAAGUCGAGCGAGAAGAGUUUUGAAGCUUGCUUUAGAACUCGGACAGCGGCGAAAGGGAGAGUAACGCGUAGUUAUGUGCCCUAGGGUCCGGAAUAGCCACGGGAAACUGUGGGUAAUGCCGGAUAAUAUCCCCGGAUCAAAGGUGUGAUUCCGCCCUAGGAGCAGACUGCGUCCUACUAGCUAGUUGGUGGGGUAAUGGCCCACCAAGGCAACGAUGGGUAGCGGGUGUGAGAGCAUGACCCGUCUCACUGGGACUGAGACACUGCCCAGACACCUACGGGUGGCUGCAGUCGAGAGUCUUCGGCAAUGGGCGAAAGCCUGACCGAGCGGUGCCGGGUGCGGGAUGAAGGCCCUCGGGUUGUAAACCGCUGUCGUAGGGGAGGAAGGUUCCGUGAAGAGCGGAAUUUGACCUAUCCUAGGAGGAAGUACGGGCUAAGUUCGUGCCAGCAGCCGCAGUAAAAC
rnacentral:rRNA from 1 species